UAUUUGUUUUAGGUGAUCUAGAGAAAUUGGAUGCAGGUAUGUCCCGAUCAUUCUCAGCAAAACCUGUUUGCUGAUCCACAUCACUAGCUUCUUCAUCACCCGUUCCAUCAUCAUCUUCUCUGUUGUACUUUUGAGAUUUUACCCGGUGACAAUGAUGGUUUGGGAUGAUUAGAUUUCAGGCCAGCUUUUGACACGGAUUUGGCUGAAGAAUUGACUGCAGAUUUGGCUGAAGAAUUGACUGCAGAUUUGGCUGAAGAAUUGACUGCGGCUUUGACGGUGUUCCAUGAUGGUAAUUAUUCGAAACACCUGGCAAUGGAGAAACUGAUCUUCUUCUGUGAGAAGUGGCCCUGCCACUUGGAUUUGGUGGACGUUGACAGGCUUGAGCCUCACCAACGACUGGCCCGGAACUGCAAUUUUCAAAAUUAAUGGGCCUUCCCCUUCCACGGCCGAUCCCCACGUGAUUGCCGGGCUGUGAUCUUGUUUGCCGGGCAUCUCUUUUCAUAAGAUCUGUUGGUGUAAUGAAUAUUGAUUCUAUCAUGAUUUAAUGUCUUUUUGAAUAACAGUAAUUUAAUAUAUUAACCUUUUUUAUA